rnacentral:misc_RNA from 1 species
CUGUGCUUAUAUUUGAGGUGGAGCUGCUAGGAAUAGAGAGGAACGAUGAAUUAUAAGAAGAUAUGGGACAGCACCAUCAAGUGGCUUUAUUCUCUCACUUAUAGUAUUCAUUUUUAGCUCAGUGUCAAGUUUUUUGUGUGGAGAGAAUGGUAAUAAAUUAUACGUGUAUUGACUUAAGGAAAUAUCUGAUGUAUGUAUCUGUGUAGUGCAAUUUCAUUUCUCAUUGUCUGCAUUUGGUAAAGUUUCUUAGAAUAAAACUUUUUAAUACAUGU